rnacentral:lncRNA from 1 species
GCAAGGCAGUAAGGCAAAAGACCAGCUAUACAACAGAGAGAAGGGAAAGUAAAUACACAGAUCAUCUUGCUUAGAAGUUUUUCUGUACAAAGGAUUAAAAUUUGAAGAUGUGCAAAGACCAGGGGUCUGACUAACAACUGCCUUGAUUCCUUGUUAUUCUAUGACUAGAUUGACUGAAAAAUUGGUCACAGGGAAUAAAAGCCUAAGUUCCUAUACAGUAGGUAAACAAUCUCUUCAGCAUGGAAAUCCAGAAAGUCUUCUGUGUUCAGACUACAGCUGUCUAUUAGAAACACUUCAAAAGCAAAGAAGCUGUCAAACUAAAAUCUUCAGGUAGAUCCCACAGCUUAUGCAGCAAAUUUGUGGUCAGAUGCGUUCUCACUGGGACAGUUGCCUAAAAUAACUUUCCAAGACUUAUGCAGGGUAUUUGAAAGGGACUAGGUGGGUAUUCAGAGUUCUAAUCUCCUAAAGCUACAUCAGAUUACUAUGUUCUAUAGUAUGUGCUGU